rfam:Camelus ferus unplaced genomic scaffold scaffold1664, whole genome shotgun sequence.
GCCGAAAUAGCUCAGUUGGGAGAAUGUUAGACUGAAGGUGUAAAGGUCCCUGGUUCAAUUCUGGGUUUCAGCA